rnacentral:rRNA from 1 species
UGCCCUUCACUACGGAAUAGCCUCUGGAAACGGAGAGUAAUACCGUAUGCGCCCUUCGGGGAAAGAUUUAUCGGUGAAGGAUUAGCCCGCGUCUGAUUAGAUAGUUGGUGGGGUAACGGCCUACCAAGUCGACGAUCAGUAGCUGGUUUGAGAGGAUGAUCAGCAACACUGGGACUGAGACACGGCCCAGACUCCUACGGGAGGCAGCAGUGGGGAAUCUUAGACAAUGGGCGCAAGUGAUCUAGCCAUGCCGCGUGAGUGACGAAGGCCUUAGGGUCGUAAAGCUCUUUCGCCAGGGAUGAUAAUGACAGUACCUGGUAAAGAAACCCCGGCUAACUCCGUGCCAGCAGCCGCGGUAAUACGGAGGGGGUUAGCGUUGUUCGGAAUUACUGGGCGUAAAGCGCGCGUAGGGGAUUGGAAAGUUGGGGGUGAAAUCCCGGGGCUCAACCCCGAACUGCCUCCAAAACUAUCAGUCUAGAGUUCGAGAGAGGUGAGUGGAAUUCCAAGUGUAGAGGUGAAAUUCGUAGAUAUUUGGAGGAACACCAGUGGCGAAGGGGCUCACUGGCUCGAUACUGACGCUGAGGUGCGAAAGUGUGGGGAGCAAACAGGAUUAGAUACCCUGGUAGUCCACACCGUAAACGAUGAAUGCCAGACGUCGGGGGGCUUGCCUUCGGUGUCACACCUAACGGAUUAAGCAUUCCGCCUGGGGAGUACGGUCGCAAGAUUAAAACUCAAAGG